rnacentral:lncRNA from 1 species
ACUUGUAUACUAUGUCAGUGUCUCCACACUCUUUGAUUAAGAAGAUAACUAACCAACGUGGCAUACAAUGACCUACACUUCAUAUAGCUAUCAUCCUAAUAAUAGCAUAUCAUUUGGUCGUGAACAAAGUUUAAGGAUUAAAUGAUAUAUCCUCCUAUAUCGAAUCAAAUAGUCCUAAAAAUUUCAUCAUAAAAUAGGAGUUCAAACAAGAUAUACACAAAGUAAUGAUAUAAUCAAAUAA